rnacentral:rRNA from 1 species
UACGGAGGGUGCAAGCGUUAUCCGGAUUCACUGGGUUUAAAGGGCGCGUAGGUGGGUUGGUAAGUCCGUGGUGAAAUCUCCGGGCUUAACUCGGAAACUGCCGUUGAUACUAUCAAUCUUGAAUAUCGCGUAGGUAAGCGGAAUAUGUCAUGUAGCGGUGAAAUGCUUAGAUAUGACAUAGAACACCAAUUGCGAAGGCAGCUUACUUCACGAUCAUUGACACUGAGGCACGAAAGCGUGGGGAGCAAACAGG